AUUGAACGCUGGCGGCAUGCUUUACACAUGCAAGUCGAACGGCAGCGCGGGCUUCGGCCUGGCGGCGAGUGGCGAGCGGGUGAGUAAUACAUCGGAACGUGCCCAGUAGUGGGGGAUAGCUCGGCGAAAGCCGGAUUAAUACCGCAUACGACCUGAGGGUGAAAGCGGGGGAUCUUCGGACCUCGCGCUAUUGGAGCAGCCGAUGGCAGAUUAGCUAGUUUGUGGGGUAAAGGCCUACCAAGGCGACGAUCUGUAGCUGGUCUGAGAGGACGACCAGCCACACUGGGACUGAGACACGGCCCAGACUCCUACGGGAGGCAGCAGUGGGGAAUUUUGGACAAUGGGCGAAAGCCUGAUCCAGCAAUGCCGCGUGUGUGAUGAAGGCCUUCGGGUUGUAAAGCACUUUUGGCGGGAACGAAAAGGACUGUGCCAAUACCACGGUUCGAUGACGGUACCCGCAGAAUAAGCACCGGCUAACUACGUG
rnacentral:rRNA from 1 species